UCUUCUUCUUCUUCUUCUUCUUCUUCUUCUUCUUCUUCUUCUUCUUCUUCUUCUUCUAAAUACAUGCUUCUCACCUUUGGGUUCUUUACCUGACCAUUCUACCCAGGGCUUGGGAUGACACAAGGCCCCAGACAUUCUAGUGCCCUUCUUACCUCAGAAUACUGAACUUCAUAACACCUCUUACGUCUGCUUUGCCACAGCCAGAGAUCUGCUCAGGGUUCUAACGAUCAGGAUAUGGGUGACUUCGGUACCUACCACCAUGAUUUCCAAAUAUUUCUUCUGUUUCAGGGAAAAGCAGGGACAAGCACGGGCCAUGAUGAAUGAAAUUGAGGUAGGCAUCCUGACUUGAGCAUGUGCUACCGGGAUGUGAGUGCUCAACUCUUCAGGGAGAGGGACUUGAGUAUCUGUCUGGACUGCAAGGUAGGAGUGCCAUGGAUGUUGAAGAAAACUAUGCCCUUGACUUGGCGUUUCGUGUCAUCUUGACAUCUGUCAGGACCAGCUCUCAGGAACCCCACCAUCGUGUUCACAGACUAAAUGCUGUGAAAUGCAAGAUAAACUGUGCUUCAUGAUUGAAAUUUUCAUUUAGAAAAGAAACCCCAACCAACCUUGCCCUGUUCCACAUUAUUUACUAUGACAUCUUGGCGCCUUUCCCAGAGCCCUGCAUCUUUCACAGCCAGGCUGUCCCGCCCCAGGGUCUCCAUGAGGCACAGCACAAGAGACAAAUGGGGCCAGCUCUGCUUCAGGUACUAGGGACUGGCGUCAGCAAGCUCGGACAGAUAGCUAGCCCUGUGAGGAGGGGCUGCCUCAACUAGUAAAGCAAAGAGUGAAUCAACUACUAAGGUCAUAAAAGAGUAGUCACAGCACCAUGGAACUGCCUAGAAGAUUCUAGAAGGUUCUGGAACUGCGAUAUUCCAAAUAGGUGCCGUGGAAAUUUAGGGGAGGCUGGAAAAAGAAAAGGAAGGAUCCUACUACAACUCUAGAUGGGAAUGCAAGAAUUGUGGACCUCUUCACAGGGGAGCCACCUAUCGGGUAAUCACUGAUGCUGCCAGGCCCCCAAAGAGAAGACUCAGUGGUUAAGAGCACUUGGUGCCCUUCCCAAGGGCUCAGACUACGAGGCUUUUUCACCCUGGCUGCUACAAGCACCAACUCUUCCAGACCUGCUCAAGCUCCGGGGGUUGCUCCUUGUAACUUGCAGACACAUCGGAGGAGAGGCUAAAAUCCUGUCGGCAUCUUUUUAGGCUCAGGCAGGUUCCUGCCAUGCUCCUCAGCAGAAGCCAUUGCUCCCAUUGACACAGAAGGUGAAACUGAGGUUCACAGAAGUGGUACAGGUCUGCACAGCCACCCAACAUCAGAGCCAGAGACCACCGGUGGAGUGAGUGUCAGCAGCAGGGGCUCUCCAUGGGAGGCUGCGGCUUACAGAGUGUUAGAGGAAAGACAAGGUUGCUUCC